UACGUAGGGGGCGAGCGUUGUCCGAAUUUACUGGGCGUAAAGCGCGCGUAGGCGGUUUCUUAAGUCUGGGGUGAAAGGUUCAACGCUCAACGUGAGCAGUGCCUUGGAUACUGGGAGACUUGAGUCUGGGAGGGGGUAGUGGAAUUCCUGGUGUAGCGGUGAAAUGCGUAGAUAUCAGGAGGAACACCGGUGGCGAAGGCGGCUACCUGGCCUAAGACUGACGCUGAGGUGCGAAAGCGUGGGGAGCGAACGGG
rnacentral:rRNA from 1 species